rnacentral:rRNA from 1 species
UACGUAGGGUGCGAGCGUUGUCCGGAAUUAUUGGGCGUAAAGAGCUCGUAGGCGGCUUGUCACGUCGGAUGUGAAAGCCCGGGGCUUAACCCCGGGUCUGCAUUCGAUACGGGCAGGCUAGAGUUCGGUAGGGGAGAUCGGAAUUCCUGGUGUAGCGGUGAAAUGCGCAGAUAUCAGGAGGAACACCGGUGGCGAAGGCGGAUCUCUGGGCCGAUACUGACGCUGAGGAGCGAAAGCGUGGGGAGCGAACAGGAUUAGAUACCCUGGUAGU